AGUGAACGCUGGCGGUAGGCCUAACACAUGCAAGUCGAACGGCAGCACAGUAAGAGCUUGCUCUUACGGGUGGCGAGUGGCGGACGGGUGAGGAAUACAUCGGAAUCUACUUUUUUGUGGGGGAUAACGUAGGGAAACUUACGCUAAUACCGCAUACGACCUACGGGUGAAAGCAGGGGAUCUUCGGACCUUGCGCGAUUGAAUGAGCCGAUGUCGGAUUAGCUAGUUGGCGGGGUAAAGGCCCACCAAGGCGACGAUCCGUGGCUGGUCUGAGAGGAUGAUCAGCCACACUGGAACUGAGACACGGUCCAGACUCCUACGGGAGGCAGCAGUGGGGAAUAUUGGACAAUGGGCGCAAGCCUGAUCCAGCCAUACCGCGUGGGUGAAGAAGGCCUUCGGGUUGUAAAGCCCUUUUGUUGGGAAAGAAAAGCAGCAGGUUAAUACCCCGCUGUUCUGACGGUACCCAAAGAAUAAGCACCGGCUAACUUCGUG
rnacentral:rRNA from 1 species